GAGUUUGAUCCUGGCUCAGGACGAACGCUGGCGGCGUGCCUAACACAUGCAAGUCGAACGGGAAAUAUUUCAUUGAGACUUCGGUGGAUUUGAUCUAUUUCUAGUGGCGGACGGGUGAGUAACGCGUGGGUAACCUGCCUUAUACAGGGGGAUAACAGUCAGAAAUGGCUGCUAAUACCGCAUAAGCGCACAGAGCUGCAUGGCUCGGUGUGAAAAACUCCGGUGGUAUAAGAUGGACCCGCGUUGGAUUAGCUGGUUGGUGGGGUAACGGCCCACCAAGGCGACGAUCCAUAGCCGGCCUGAGAGGGUGAACGGCCACAUUGGGACUGAGACACGGCCCAGACUCCUACGGGAGGCAGCAGUGGGGAAUAUUGCACAAUGGGGGAAACCCUGAUGCAGCGACGCCGCGUGAAGGAAGAAGUAUCUCGGUAUGUAAACUUCUAUCAGCAGGGAAGAUAGUGACGGUACCUGACUAAGAAGCCCCGGCUAACUACGUGCCAGCCGCCGCGGUAAUUC
rnacentral:rRNA from 1 species